UAGCUACCUUAAAUGCACCAAAGAUGAAUAUAUUCUGAAUUUACUGUAAAUUGUGGAGGUGCCAAUGACACUAGAAGAGUGACUCUGGUCUUGGAAUCAAGGCAAUACUUCAAUGUGAAGUGCCAAAUGGAUAAGUGAUGGGGAAAGGAAGAUGCAUGGAACUUCAAAUUAUAUAUACAGAAAGAAAUCAUCAAGCUAUGAUAUAAGAAACACAAUUGACUGCUGAUUAUCCUACUUUAUUACAUUUCUACCAGACACGUGAAAAUACCACUUUGAAUGCACAUAUAAAGUGUUUAAUGUUUCUUGUAUUCUUUUCUAUUAAGCAUUUUAAAAUUAACAUUG